GGAGUUGUGACUCAGUGGUAGAGUACUUGCCUAGCAUGUGUGAGGCACUGGGUUUGAGUCUCAGCACCA
rnacentral:tRNA from 1 species